AUUGACUCAAACUUAGAUAUUUAAAUCAAACUUCAGAACUCAGCUUUAAAGCAGUUCCAUACCAUAUGGUAAUAAAUUCAUCUGCCCAUUAUGUUGUUAUCAGAGUUAGUUAGAUCACUGCAGAUUUCUUCUGAGAACCAGGUAAAGAGGUUAAGAAAGAGGAGCUAUGUAAGAAGGAAAAUGUUGUGGACAGCCAGAAGAAAUGUCUUAUAACUGGUAU
rnacentral:lncRNA from 1 species